AGAGUUUGAUUCUGGCUCAGGACGAACGCUGGCGGCGUGCUUAACACAUGCAAGUCGAACGGGAGUAUUGAAGAAGCUUGCUUAGAGAUACUUAGUGGCGGACGGGUGAGUAACGCGUGAGGAGCUGUCCUAUGCAGGGGGACAACAGCUGGAAACGGCUGCUAACUACCCCAUAAGCCGAGAGGUAAAAGGAUCAAUCCGGCAGAGGAGGUACUCGCGUCCUAUCAGCUAGUAGGUGAGGUAACGGCUCACCUAGGCGAAGACGGUAGCCGGCCUGAGAGGGCGAACGGCCACACUGGAACUGAGAUACGGUCCAGACUCCGUACGGGAGGCAGCAGGUGGGAAUAGUUGGCAAUGGGGAAACCCUGACCCAGCGACGCCGCGUGGGUGAAGAAAUCCUUCGGGAUGUAAAGCCCUGUUGUAUGGGAAGAGCGGAAGACGGUACCAUACGAGGAAGCCCCGGCAAACUACGUGCCAGCAGCGGC
rnacentral:rRNA from 1 species